rnacentral:tRNA from 2 species
CGGGGUGUAGCGCAGUUGGUAGCGCGCCUGCUUUGGGAGCAGGAUGCCGUGGGUUCGAGUCCCGUCACUCCGACCA